rnacentral:lncRNA from 1 species
ACUGGUCUUACAUAAAAAAAUGUAUUCAAUUUUUUUUCUUUUAUAAUUAAUAGUUUUUAAGUUUCAAAUUAUAAUAAUGUAUAAAAUAUAAAGUAAUUCAAUAACAGACUGUGACGAAAAUUAAGGGUUGUGAAAUUGUAUUUAUUAUAUGAUUACCUGUACCACUAUAGAAAACAAUAAUAAUUUUUAAUCAUAUCGGUGACACGUCUUGUAUAGGCAAAUUCACAUUUGAAAUAUUAUAUAGUUAAUUCAUUUAGGAAUGUUUUAAGAUAAAAGUGGUUAUAAUAUACAGUCGUUCCACAUUAUUUGAUGCUUUUGAGUUUGCUAUAAUAUAAUAUUGCGAACUCGAUAUAUUUGUAUAUAAUUAGCGAACAGUUUAACGGAGCAUAAAAGAUAAUAGGUAAAGAAUAGAUUGGCGCCUAUCUAUUGUUUAAUCACUAACAUUUUACCAUUGCAAUUUUGUCUAUAUAGUAUAUAAUAUAUAAUAAUAAUAUAUGCGCAUACAGUGGUAUAUUAUAAGUACUGCUUUGAAAAAUAGUAUAUAUUAUAAUAUUAUUAUAUUCUUAUGUUAUAUUUUUUGACACGAUGGAAACAAAUCGUUUAAUAUUAAUGAUGCAAUAGAGAUAAUAUUUAAUUUUCUUUGAAAUCAAAACAUUAGAUUCAGGUAUGUUUAUUUUAUUAUUUAAAAUUAACCUCAGUAUGUAUCGACAUUCAGUGAGGGGGAAUGCCGUUUUAUUUUUUUCAAAUCGAAUUUCUCCACGUCUUAUUCUACGGAAAAUAAUUUUUAAUUUUUAUUAAUUCUAUAAUUAUUAUAAAACCUACUUAACAUGCAUUUCUCAUGAAAACGAUAUCACAAAACUGUUGUUAUCAUACAACUUCUAGGACCUCUAAAAUGGAUAUCUAGGAUUACAUAACUGUUUAUUUUGUUUUGUUUUUUUGCUUUUACAGUUUUACAAAUUAUUAAUGUACCCAACAAAAGGAUAAUAUAAAAGUAUACUAAGUAUAAAAAAGAGGUUACAUUUUUUUUUUUUUUCUAGGGCUUUAAUAUUAUUUAAGCCACGAUUAAUCUAAUUAUACUACAUCAACAAAAAAUGAAUAAUCAUUUUUAGACAGUGAAGGCAUUGACUGAAUUUUAAAUGACCCCUCACUAACUUUCAACCACUUCAACCACUGACUUAAAAAAUUAAUGUAGGUGAUUUAAAUAAACACAAUUAUUUCGAGACAAUUAUUACAGCCAUAAAUUAUUUUAUUAUAAUAUAAUUAUGUUAAGAGAAUAAUUUUGAUCAAAAACUUCCAUUGUUUUAUCAUUGAUUUUUAUUUAGUUAAAUGUUUAAUAUUGUUACCUAUCAUAUUAUUUAUAAUAUACCUUGACAGAAAAUGAUAAAAAAUUAUUAAUAUAUAUAUAUUUUUUUUUUUAUUACUAUAAUAAAGCAUAUUAUAUUUGAAUAAAUAGUAUACAAACUAUUAGGUGAAAUUAUCAAAAAUUAUACACAAAUUUUAACUUGUUCUAUUUUUUAUUAUAAUAAAAUAAUAUACAAAUUAAUGUUUUAUUUAAGUUAAAUAUCUAUAUUAUGUAUUAUGUAUGAAUGGUGCCAAAGCGAUAUUAAAUUUAAAGAAUGCCUAUACCAAAAAAUAUGUAUUACAAAAUAAAUAUUUUUUGAUUGAAAUCAAUUAUUAUAAAAUGAUAGGCUGUUUAUUAUAUAAUUAUGUUAUGUUAAACUAUAGUCAGAAACACUAGACCGUCGUUAAUAUUAAAUAUUUAGGCCUGAAACUAUUUUUGUUUGUGUAAAUUUGUUUUUCGUUUGUUUGUUUUAUUAUUAUAUAUUAUUUUAAGAAAAUAUAAUGUUGUUGUUGAAAUAAAUGUGUAAAAAUGAUUAAUUCGUGUUAACUCAUUUUAAAUAAUCGUAUGUAAUAAAAUGUUAAAAUUAAUAUAGUCGCAUACAAUUAUAAUACUGUCACUGAUUCGUUGACAACUUAGGAAAUUGGAAAAAAAGGUGUGCAGUAGGUACGUUAAUUAAACAUAUUUAAUUAUAGAUAGGUACGCACAAAAAAAAAAAAAAAAUCAAUAGUAAACAAAUAAUAUAAUAACUAUAUUGUUGUGACAUGUGAACAUUUAUUAUGCAAAAGUAACAGCUAAUUAUUUUUAUUAACUCUAUAAUUUUUAAGCCCAAAAUAUAUGAAUUUUUUCCGUCUAGAUUAGAAAAAUAUGUACACAAAUAUAUUAUUAAGUUUAAAAUUAUAAAUACUUAAUACAAUUCAGUAGAAAUAGCGGGUUACGUCAAUGUGUUGUCUCAAAUACCAGUUGGUUGUUUGAUACCGCAUCAGAGUUUACUGCUUACUUGCAUAAUCGAAUAAACAAUUUAUUCGGUUUUUUUGUAAACAGCAUUAGAAUUUUAUGCUAUUAUUUGCUUUGAAAACUAUAAUUAAACUAUACGUAUACCAAUAUAUAUUAUAAUGUACAUAUUUUAAUUCGUAAACAGCAUAUUUUGCUUGAUUCGCUAUUUUUCAAUUUCUUUGGAAGUAGAUACUAACGAAACGGACAUUUGACCCUCUCGAGCUGAAUAAUUAUUUUGAUUGUCUUCCAUUUCGAAAAUGAUUGUUAUUAUUUUAAUUGCUUAUAUAAUUACUGAAUAGUAUACUGUAUGUUCUUAUUGUACCUGUAACUAUAGGCUAUAAUAUACAUAACUUUAUUAUUUUCAAAUAAAACAACAUAAACCUAAUAAUAUAGUGUAAAAUAAUGAGUAAAUAUGUACCUAAGUGGCUGGAUAAUUUAAUAUUUUAUUUAAAAAUAAAACUAGUCUCAAUGUCACAGCAUCAGCCAGGUACUCAAAAUAUAAUUUUUUUUUUUUCGUUAUUGAAAGAAUACAAUAAUGUGCAAUUGUACACUAUGUAUAAUGUAAAAUAUCUAUAUUUAAAAAUGUCUAAUAUGAAAAGACAGCAAGACUCGCCACCCAUACGUAUCAUAUUAUACCUUUAAACCUAUGUAAAUACUUUUACAAAUUUUAAAAUGAUGUUCAAAUAAAUAAUUACCAAAAAUAUAUUUUAAUUAUUUUAUUUUGUCUAUGUAAUUUUGUUAUUUAGUUACUACUGUUCUGCCAACUCUUUCUAAAGCUUGU